GACGAACGCUGGCGGCGUGCUUAACACAUGCAAGUCGAACGGAAAGGCCCUGCUUUUGUGGGGUGCUCGAGUGGCGAACGGGUGAGUAACACGUGAGUAACCUGCCCUUGACUUUGGGAUAACUUCAGGAAACUGGGGCUACUACCGGAUAGGAGCUCCUGCUGCAUGGUGGGGGUUGGAAAGUUUCGGCGGUUGGGGAUGGACUCGCGGCUUAUCAGCUUGUUGGUGGGGUAGUGGCUUACCAAGGAUUUGACGGGUAGGCGGCCUGAGAGGGUGACCGGCCACAUUGGGACUGAGGUACGGCCCAGAGUCCUACGGGAGGCAGCAGUGGGGAAUAUUGCACAAUGGGCGGAAGCCGGAUGCAGCAACGCCGCGUUCGGGAUGACGGCCUGCUGGUUGUAAACCGCUUUCGCCUGUGACGAAGCGUGAGUGACGGUAAUGGGUAAAGAAGCACCGGCUAACUACGUG
rnacentral:rRNA from 1 species